rnacentral:rRNA from 1 species
AAACUAACAAGGAUUCCCCUAGUAACUGCGAGUGAAGCGGGAAAAGCUCAAAUUUAAAAUCUGGCGGUCCUCUGGCCGUCCGAGUUGUAAUCUGGAGAAGCGUUUUCCGCGUCGGACCGUGUACAAGUCUUCUGGAACGGAGCGUCAUAGAGGGUGAGAAUCCCGUCUCUGACACGGACUGCCGAUGCUUCAUGUGAUACGCUCUCGAAGAGUCGAGUUGUUUGGGAAUGCAGCUCAAAAUGGGUGGUAAAUUCCAUCUAAAGCUAAAUAUUGGCGAGAGACCGAUAGCGAACAAGUACCGUGAGGGAAAGAUGAAAAGCACUUUGGAAAGAGAGUUAAACAGUACGUGAAAUUGUUGAAAGGGAAACGUUUGAAGUCAGUCGCGUCGGCCGGGACUCAACCUUGCUAUCUUGCUCGGUGCACUUCUCGGUUGACGGGUCAGCAUCAAUUUUGACCGUCGGAUAAAGGCCGAGGGAACGUGGCAUCCUCCGGGGUGUGUUAUAGCCCUUGGUUCGCAUACGGCGAUUGGGAUUGAGGAACUCAGCACGCCUUCAUUGGUCGGGGCUUAAUCGCUCACGUUAACGUGCUUAGGAUGCUGGCAUAAUGGCUUUAAGCGACCCGUCUUGAAACACGGACCAAGGAGUCUAACAUGCCCG